rnacentral:rRNA from 1 species
UACGUAGGGUGCGAGCGUUGUCCGGAAUUAUUGGGCGUAAAGGGCGCGUAGGCGGCCUGGCAAGUGACGGGUGAAAGCCCUCGGCUCAACCGAGGAACUGCCUGUCAUACUGCCGGGCUUGAGUCCGGGAGAGGUGAGUGGAAUUCCCAGUGUAGCGGUGAAAUGCGUAGAUAUUGGGAGGAACACCAGUGGCGAAGGCGGCUCACUGGACCGGAACUGACGCUGAGGCGCGAAAGCGUGGGGAGCAAACAGG